rnacentral:rRNA from 1 species
GAUGAACGCUAGCGGCAGGCCUAAUACAUGCAAGCCGAACGGUAAGAUUUGUAGCAAUACGAGUCCUAGAGUGGCGUAAGGGUGCGUAACACGUAUGCAAUCUGCCCGCAACUGGAGGAUAGCUCGGGGAAACCCGGAUUAACCCUCCAUAAGAUCACACAAUGGCAUCAAAGAGUGAUUAAAUCUCCGGAGGUUGCGGAUGAGCAUGCGGUUGAUUAGCUAGUUGGUAGUGUAACGGACUACCAAGGCAAUGAUCAAUAGGGGAACUGAGAGGUU